rnacentral:rRNA from 1 species
AGAGUUUGGACUCCUCGGCUACAGAACGAACGCUGGCGGCAUGCCUAACACAUGCAAGUCGAACGAAGGCUUCGGCCUUAGUGGCGCACGGGUGCGUAACGCGUGGGAAUCUGCCCUUAGGUUCGGAAUAACAGCUGGAAACGGCUGCUAAUACCGGAUGAUGACGAAAGUCCAAAGAUUUAUUGCCUGAGGAUGAGCCCGCGUUGGAUUAGGUAGUUGGUGGGGUAAAGGCCUACCAAGCCGACGAUCCAUAGCUGGUCUGAGAGGAUGAUCAGCCACACUGGGACUGAGACACGGCCCAGACUCCUACGGGAGGCAGCAGUGGGGAAUAUUGGACAAUGGGCGAAAGCCUGAUCCAGCAAUGCCGCGUGAGUGAUGAAGGCCCUAGGGUUGUAAAGCUCUGUUACCCGGGAAGAUAAUGACUGUACCGGGAGAAUAAGCCCCGGCUAACUCCGUG